GUCAGUUUAUAUUAUACAGGAAGUAUUAUUAAAGAGAUGUAGUAGUCCCAGAGUUAAUGAUCCCAGGUCAGUUUAUAUUAUACAGGAAGUAUUAUUAAAGAGAUGUAGUAGUCCCAGAGUUAAUGAUCCCAGGUCAGUUUAUAUUAUACAGGAAGUAUUAUUAAAGAGAUGGAGUAGUCCCAGAGUUAAUGAUCCCAGGUCAGUUUAUAUUAUACAGGAAGUAUUAUUAAAGAGAUGGAGUAGUCCCAGAGUUAAUGAUCCCAGGUCAGUUUAUAUUAUACAGGAAGUAUUAUUAAAGAGAUGUAGUAGUCCCAGAGUUAAUGAUCCCAGGUCAGUUUAUAU